rnacentral:rRNA from 1 species
AUUGAACGCUGGCGGCAGGCCUAACACAUGCAAGUCGAACGAGUGGCGGACGGGUGAGUAAUGUCGGGGAAACUGCCUGAUGGAGGGGGAUAGCUACUGGAAACGGUAGCUAAUACCGCAUACCAUCAGAGGUGCCCAGAUGGGAUGAGCUAGUUGGUGGGGUAACGGCUCACCAGGGAGACGAUCCCUAGCUGGUCUGACAGGAUGACCAGCAACACUGGAACUGGACCAUGGUCCAGACUCCCACGGUGGGCUGCAGUGGGGAAUAUUGGAAAAGGGGCGAAAGCCGGCUGCGUCACGGCCGCGGGGAUGAAGAAGGCCUUCGGGUUGUAAAGUACUUUCAGCGGGGAGUCGUUACCCGCAGAAGAAGCACCGGCUAACUCCGUGCCAGCAGCCGCGGUAAUAC